rnacentral:rRNA from 1 species
GGAAUAUUGGACAAUGGGCGAAAGCCUGAUCCAGCCAUGCCGCGUGUGUGAAGAAGGCCUUCGGGUUGUAAAGCUCUUUUGUCAGGGAAGAAACGGUUCAAGCUAAUAUCUUGAGCUAAUGACGGUACCUGAAGAAUAAGCACCGGCUAACUACGUGCCAGCAGCCGCGGUAAUACGGAGGGUGCAAGCGUUAAUCGGAAUUACUGGGCGUAAAGCGCGCGUAGGUGGUUCGUUAAGUUGGAUGUGAAAUCCCCGGGCUCAACCUGGGAACUGCAUUUGUGACUGUAUAGCU